rnacentral:lncRNA from 1 species
UUUGCAAGCUUUGGUCCUCCCACCGUCGUGCAUCAUGAUGCGUGACGGUGAAAUGCAUUUACAGCAAAUGUUAAACUCGAGUUCGCAUGUAGCCUGGUUGCUACUACGAGGGCUAGCUUGUGGCUAGUUUAGCCAGCAUCAAAUAGUCCAUGCUAACGUGUGUUGUCAUGAAAGUAAAUAAGGGCCUGCUCUCUCUGUUGGAGCCAAGUUUAAAAGCUGCUAGUUAGGCUAUCCAAUUAAAUUAGAAAAUGAAGCCUAUUUUGAUGCCAGUACUGUUGUUUUUGUUUAUCCAGUGGUAUUUUUUCAUAUUAUAAAAUUUGUGUUUAACUGUAAUUAUCAUAGAUUGUGUUUUCACUAUGUGUGGUAGAAAUGGGACGCAUUAGUUGAAUUAUUCCAAUACUAUUUUGUUAAUGCAUUAGCAGUGCUAUAGGAAAUGCUAAUAGUAAAAAUCUCAAAGUACUGGUAUCGACAUAUUUUUUACCAAGAGUAAAAGGUAUUCAUUAUGCAUUAUGUCCUGUUUCACAAGUUGCCAAUUGUACUAAAUAAACAGAACAAUUUUAUAAUGGUUGAUCUACAAGUUCACACUGUUAUUAACAUUAUUGUUUUUCUACUUUCUUUUUUCCAUGUGUUUUCUUUCCAGCCAAAUUGAAUAUGGCCUCUACUUAUUUGAAAGAGUGGCGGAGAAAAAGAGCUUGGGAGGGUGAUUUCAUGGAUGAAUUUUUGAAUUGGAUUCAAGGUAAGGAUUUAUCAGGUUUAGCAGUGGUUUUUAAGUAGGGUGGGGGCUAUUUUAAAAUAGUGCAACAGCAUAUGAUUUUGUGUUUAAAAGCCAAAGUUAAGCACCACACUCAUCAUCCAUUUAUUGUCUCGUUCUCGGAUUUUGCAGCGAGGAAGAGGGUUUAUUCCUACCCAAUGCCUGAGUAAAGUAAGAGUGGCAUAACUACAGUACAAAAUGUUGUUAAGUAAUGUAUUCUAAUUAUUGAAUUGAAUGUUACUAAAUCAUAUCUUUUCACCAAGAGUUCCAGCGGGUGGUCGUGGAAACACUUUUGGAAAUCUGCGAUGAAUUGAAAUCGCUCAACCAGCAGGGGGACAUUGAAGAUGAGGGUGAGCAGAUACGUCAGUUGCUGUUAAGGACUUUGGAGGAGGCUCAGCGCAUGUCGUUGGAAAUCAGUAGGCACCCCAGCAUAAAACGUUUACUGGUAAGUCAAAUAGAGAUGCUAAAAAUGAUAGAAAUCUAUACAUUAGACACUCUUGAUAAUUUGAUUAUAUCAUACAGAUAAAACAACUGUCACACCUUGGGGGGAAGGACAUCAAGACCUGCACACGCAGGAUCCUGGACAGGUAUGAAUAUGACAGCAAGACAAUGUUAUUAAUGUAAUCAUGUAUUGUUGGUGUUUAUCAAGUCUUUCUAGUGAAUUGCAAGAGUAAGCAGUAUUAAGGUGCGUUCACACAGGCACUUGCGCAACGGCAGCGAGGGUUUCUCUGAGGUUUUAGGGACUUGUUCCGCAAAUAAAGAGAAGCGCUGGACACAGUAUCUGACGAGAUCGAGGGGAAACCUAGAGUGGGUGUGACGUAAUGCGCAGCGCGAAUUGAAGGUGGCAAAGUGACACGUUUUAGGACACAAGACAGGACAAGUUGCAUUGCCUGUCCAGUGUGAACGCACCUUAAGAGAUUUAUUUGUCUUUGAAUUCCAUUUCAGAAUUUUACACAAUGAUGUGCAGAGGAAGUACAACCUCCUGGGUGAAGGAUGCCAGGGGAAAAAAGGCUUUAAGAAAACUGCUUUCUUCACAGUUGUUCUUGGUAAGUGAAUUAUAUCUCUGCAAGUUAUUACUUGUUCUUGGUCAUGUUACUGACUCAUUUAAAGCCUGAAGCUGUAAAAAAGUGAAGAAUCCUUCCGGACAAUACUAGAUAAUUUCUACAUUUACUAUGAUUCAAGUUUCUUUUGUUUUUUUUCUUUUUGCAGAGUCUGUUCGCAUCAACUUCCCGACAGCAACAGAGGAACUGGUCGCCGCAUCGAUUGGGGACCAUUUGAAACAGGCACCAGCUCGAUGUGGUGGGAGGGGC